UACGGAAGGUCCGGGCGUUAUCCGGAUUUAUUGGGUUUAAAGGGAGCGUAGGCCGGCUUUUAAGUCAGCUGUGAAAGUCCGCGGCUCAACCGUGGAAUUGCAGUUGAAACUGGAGGCCUUGAGUGCACACAGGGAUGCCGGAAUUCAUGGUGUAGCGGUGAAAUGCAUAGAUAUCACGCAGAACCCCGAUUGCGAAGGCAGCAUACCGGUGCACAACUGACGCUCAGGCACGAAAGCGUGGGUAUCGAACAGG
rnacentral:rRNA from 1 species